rfam:Stegodyphus mimosarum contig21891, whole genome shotgun sequence.
GCCUUCGUGGUGUAGUGGUCAGCAUGCUCGGCACGUAUUCGAGAGAUCCGUGGUUCGAAUCCCGGCGAGGGCC